rnacentral:rRNA from 1 species
UGGGGAAUAUUGCACAAUGGGCGCAAGCCUGAUGCAGCCAUGCCGCGUGUAUGAAGAAGGCCUUCGGGUUGUAAAGUACUUUCAGUCGGGAGGAAGGUGUCAAGGUUAAUAACCUUGGCAAUUGACGUUACCGACAGAAGAAGCACCGGCUAACUCCGUGCCAGCAGCCGCGGUAAUACGGAGGGUGCAAGCGUUAAUCGGAAUUACUGGGCGUAAAGCGCACGCAGGCGGUUGAUUGAGUCAGAUGUGAAAUCCCCGGGCUUAACCCGGGAAUUGCAUCUGAUACUGGUCAGCUAGAGUCUUGUAGAGGGUGGUAGAAUUCCAUGUGUAGCGGUGAAAUGCGUAGAGAUGUGGAGGAAUACCGGUGGCGAAGGCGGCCCCCUGGACAAAGACUGACGCUCAGGUGCGAAAGCGUGGGGAGCAAACAGG